CUGGGGGCACAAAGGGGGCGAGGGCAGAGGUAGGGGCGGAACAGUCGCCGAGCGGUGCUGGGCACCGUCGCCACACGACGUUCUUUUUAUCUCAAAGCCGUAUCCCUUUUGCGCCUCUUCUCUAUUCCUCAAUUUCCAAUGAGUCGGAAUACGACAUGAAACGCUAAACUGCCACAAAGGGGGCAGCGGUCGAACCCUUUGCCCCGGUCUCUCUCUCUCUCUCUUUCUCUCACUCUCUCUUUCUCUCUCUCCCUCUCUCUCUCUUUCGCUCUCGCAACGCUGAUCCAGGUGAAACCUCUCCUCCUAUGUCGCCUAGCCAGCCUCACACUCUCUUUCUACCUUUCGAUUCUUUCGCGCGGUACGAGAUGCCUUCGUUCACCCGAUAUUGUUGCCAGGAUUCAAUUAGGGAUGGAGAUCUUGGGGCGGAAGAUGAGAGGAUCGCCGCAUCGAGGACGAGACGGAUCGACGAAGCGGGUUCGAAAGUGUUGGAUUGUUUUCGAGGUUUCACCGUUUUAUUUCUCCAGGUGAAAAUGCAAAGCAGCGGUAAUCAGCGGCGUCGAUCGUCAACGUUGAUCGGCAGCUUUAACGAGCAGCGUUAAUCGCUAUGAUUGACUCGGCGAGGUGGUGUUUCCGGUUGCAGAACUCAAUGAAUCAGAAUGGACAGGGCAAAGGAUUCGGUGGACGCGCGAGGGUGCUCGUCGAAGCGGUUGGACGGCCGUCUAGGAACGUCGGCGAGGGCGUUGCAACGUUUGUUGUACGUUCUCCGCGGUAACGACAACGGUGGCAGUGGCGUCGGCAUCGGUAUCGGCAUCGGCGUCGACGUCGAUGUCCCUCUCGCGUCUCUCGCGGACCAUUUACAAUGCCGGAGGGUGCUCUCGGUUGGAGCCCGAAAUGUUCCUACAAAUCGGCUUAGAAAAUUGUGACCGAGACAACUUUAAUAUCGCACAAAGGUCGACGGAGGAGGAGGGGCUGUUGAUAGCGGCGCAUCGUUAUCCCUUCUACCGCGAUAAGCACCGAAAUCGCACCUAUCGACGCUGCAGACGAUUCGCAUCGCGAAAAGGAUCGAAGGAGGGAGGUGCGAUGGGACCCAGCUGCCGCAGUCGCAGUCGCAGUCGCAGGAACCAGCGGAGACGAGAAUACGGCUCUGCGCGGGGGUUGCUUCUGCAUGGAAAGAGGACGAUUGUCGAGCCGAACGCGAAGGAGCCCCGGACGUUGCCGGCGCGGGACCUUCGAACUCUGAUUCCGAUCGGCGGCGAAUGGAAAAUUGUUUCCUCGACGUUUAAGCGAGAGGCUUAUUUUUCGUAACGUUCUUCGAGGCGUUUCCUUUAUUUCAAACAAGUUGUCGCCGUUGGCAACGAGACGCGGAAGAUGGUCCACGUUGGAACGAGAUGCAGCCGAAAGCGAGUAUCGAGGUCUCGCGGAGGAUCCUGUUCGGGCAGAAACGAAGAACAAGGGAAAGAGACGCGGAGACGCGAAGAGAGGGAUGGCGGGGCUGGAUGGAGGGUUGGUUGCGCUGUCGCGCGACGUGGCUCGCGGUAAUAGGAUUUCACAUCUGUGUCCAAAGGAUCGGGGAUCUCACCUUCGUCCUUCUCGUUGUCGUCGUCGAGGUCCUCGGACAGAUUGUCGUCCUCUUCUUCGUCGUCCUGCGAUCGGUGCGACGCCUCCGCCUCGCUUCCGGAGUGCUCGCCCACGCUUCCGCUUCCCGCUGUUUUCGACAGGUUCAGCACCGGACUGUGGCCGUUCGAGGAACCUACGGAGCGCAGAAAAGGCACGGUGUGAAUCGAUCGAAGACACUCGUCGAAACCGGGAAUCGAACGCAACCGAGAGCUUUGAUGGAUCUUAUUUGGAAACCGUUUGCACCAACGCGUCUCUAUCCCCCCUUGGAGAAAACGAAGGACGAUCCGAUCCACUCUCCGAGGACGUUGCUCCCUCCCUUCGACCAGUAUCUGAUUACCUAGCAUUUUAAUCCUGACGUGGAUAGAUACUGUUUGGACGCCGAGGAUGGCGCAUCGUGUGACGCAUGCGAGAACUGGACGGGGUUCUUCCAAGUAUAGCCGGUUCAAAUAACAACACAGUUUGUCGCUUCAAUCAUCGUUUUAUUUAGAUCUUCGAGAAGUACAUCGAUCGAUAAAUUAUUUACUAGUUCGAUACAAUACGAUAGAUACAAUUAGCGUAGUUGUUGCGGUCGAUGGGUGGUGGUAUCGUCGAGGUUCUUGCGACAGCAUGUUCCGAUCCAUUUCUCGAGCAUCCUUCGAUCGCAACAGGUCCGGAUUCCAACUUGAAAACGUUGCGUUCGCCCGCGAACAGAUCCUCGCCACCAGUCGGGAUAAAAGGUUCGCUCGGACGGAUUAAAAUAUUACGGGGAAUCGGAAGAAAGGCGGUGCCGCGAAACCCGAUAUCGGACUUAAUCUCGGGGGUCUCCUAAACGAUCGGCCGGACCAGCAACGAGAAAUAAAGAAACGCAGAAGAAGACUGGCCCACGAGCGGACACGCUCGGUUAGCUGGUCGCCGACAGGACAACGUUACAAAAUCCUUCCACGCGGCUUGGCUUCGACUUUAAUGCGAUCUUCUUGGAUCGAACCCCUGCGGUCCAAAGGAUCCAAACAACAGGAAUUUCUUCGAUCGACAAGUCCGGAGUUCCUUCGAGCCGAUGCUGCGAAUGUCUCUUAGAUAAUAGUAGCCAAUGUCCGUCUUCUGUAACGCGAUAGUAUAUAAGAAUUAUGAAUAAAAGCUUUGUUUGAGAUCGUAAA